UUGGUAGCUGAAGAAGCAGGAAUGACACUCAAUUACUGAUGGAAAGAAGAGAAAAGGAACACAUUAAAAACAUAUCCAGUAUACAUACAGUUGAUCCACAAUCAAUCGCCAUGGUCUGCAAACCCCAUGGAACACCAAGGCCCACCAGAAUGUCAAAGACAUUGCUUCCUAUUGUGUUGGAUACUGCCAUGUCACCAAGGCCUGCAAAGGAAAAACAACCUUCAGAUAGACUGCAGCCACGGGGAACCUGCAGGUUGGCUACUGGAUUUAGUCUGUGGACACACAGCUCACAUGGAUGCUGAAAAGUGGUCCAGAAAAGAACUCAACCAGAUGGGAGUCAAAGAUAUUAAGCACUUCUGUGGGGUAUGGGUUUAAUCAGCAAUGACUUCACUUUAGGAACCAUCAAGUGGGACAUGAAAUAAAAAUUUUAAAAAAGAGUAAAUGGUGAUGAAGUCGCUAGGCAUUACUCAAAAUCCAGUCCUAAUGCUCAUCACUGGCUGCCAUCUUAUUCUACACCAGUAUCAAUAAACGUGAGGAAGGCAGAAGAACUCUUCUCUGUCUAAUUUCCCCAAGGCACUGGCUUAACUAUUGACUCCUUU